rnacentral:rRNA from 1 species
AUGGACAACAAAUAUGAUGGCACACAAAAUCGUCUUGAGUCCACUCUUCAUUUUGAGUAUAAUUUGGCACCCGUCCAAGAUUCUGACCAGACCAAUGACAUGAACAAGUCAUCUAAUCUUUGUGUGAUACAUAUCCCAGACCUGCACCUUCAGAAGGAGGAUGACUUGGGCAUAUUGAAGCAAUGUAUUGACAAUUCUUUUUGCUUCAUGUGCUGUCAUCUUCGAGUUAUGGGACCACCAGGGGUUCAGGAAUGUCCCUCUCUCCUGCAAGAUAAGGAUCCUUCUCACAUGCAUCUUGUCAGUUUGGUAGUAAAGACCCUUCAGAAGCUGAUGGACUACAGCAGCCCUGCUGUUUCCCUGUUUAAAGAUUUGGGUGGUGUAGAGCUUUUGUCUCAGAGGUUACAUGUGGAGGUGCAGCGUGUUAUUGGCGUUGCUGACAGUCUUACUUCAGUGAUUGCUAGUGAUACAUUGAAAUUGGAAGAUGACCAUUUCUACUCACAGAAGCUGCCGAUUAAGGCUUUGCUCAAGGCAUUAGGUUCUGCUACAUAUUCUCCUGCAAAUCCUGCUUGCUUUCAAAGCUCCAAUGAUAAUUCCCUUGUAUUCCAGAAUGUUGGCAAGUUUGGUGGUGAUAUUUACAUCUCGUCAGUUACUGUUACGAUGUCGGGUCUGAAGCGCUGCCUUAUUGACAUGAUCGCAGUGGCCGACGUGGCUAUGGUGGAGCUCGAGCCCACAAAGCGCGUGCGGGAGCUAGUGGAGACGGAGCUGCAUGGGGGC